rnacentral:ribozyme from 1 species
UGGAAAUGGACAUAAGCGAGCAUGACAAUAAUAAUACAGAACAGCAGCAGCAGCAGCAACAGCGAUCACCAUCGUCAGCAUCGGAUAUGCCUCAAGAUUACAGACCAAGAGGCAGUGACCAUUCAUUAGCACGAAUGCAUCACAGCUAUCACAGCAGACAACACCACGCGUCUUGGUCUGGAAAAUCCAAGCUCA